UUAAAAACAUUUAAAGAAGACGUCACAGCGUGUGCGACACAAAAAGAAGCAGCUUUGAAAAUCGAUCGUUUUUGGUGUCUAAAACUCUUAUCAAAGGAGUAUUUUCCGGUUGAGAUUUCCAACAUCAGUUUGUUUGUGAUUUUGUUUGUUGUGUAAUUAAUGUGCCACCACAUAAAUGUAGCAAAUAUUAAUGAAGCUAUGGCAAUAAACGUAAUGUUGACAAAAAUAUGCCAAAUCUCAAAUUAAAUGGUUCAUCUUAAUCUGUUAAAACAGAUGCAAACACUAAAGAAGACAAUAACAUUACAAAUUGAAGCAAAAAUUUAUAACAGAUCAUGUUGAAGAUAUGAAUCGCAGAAAAGCACCGUUGUCGAAUGAUCGAAUUGUCGAAAGAUCAUAAUUUAAAUCUUUGUAUUAUAAUUGCGUAAAAAUAUUUUAAAAUUUUUAA